ensembl:lncRNA
GACAAAAGGGUGGGACUGGCAGGAAAAGCAAUGAUGAGUAAAGCUCAAGUUCUCCUUUAUGAGCCCCUCGUCUAACAACCGCAUUUGAUUACAGUAAGGCUCAGAGUUGAGGAACUUUUUUCAGGAUUACUGCCAGUUUCCUCCAGCACACACACACACACACACUGCUGGAUGCUGGAGCGUCUCUGUGAAAGCGGAGUGGGCUGAGACUAUAAUGAGAGCGGUAUGAAGGGAUGAUGUUGAAGACUGGCCGAGCCAGUCAGGGAUAAACAGUGGGGAGUUUCCUUCAGAUUCUACGAUCUGCUCUUCUGGUUUGUCUCUGUUCGGCAGUCCAAUCUGCUUUGAUCCUGGAGAAGCUAAAAGAGGCUAUAAAAAGAUACAAUUGAUUCUUAACUGAGAACUCCUGUUUGUCUCUUGAGCAACAUUUGAGCAAUAGGACUGUCCUCCAGGACCCUAAACCCUUCUGUUCAAAUUUGUGCCUAAUAACCUCGCUGGACCCCACAACUAUCCUCCUGGCAUGGAUCGCUGGACAUUUCAGAAGAGCAAGGAAUAUUAGGACUGGAGAAUUACAGUCCUUCUUUGGAGUUUGUGAAGCUUAUGGAUUCCACCUCACGCCAGACUGCACUUUAUUUUGCAAGAAUUUGAUGCGGUCUGUUUGACCCAUCCUUGUUUCAUGUGGCAGCAACCCUUUACACUUCCUUCCCCACAUACUGUAAAGCAAAUUACUUAAUUUAGUGAUAUGAGAAACAUCAGACAGAGACAAAAGCCAAAUGGAGGACGUCAUAGGAAAUGGGUUUUAAUAAAACAUCCUUCAAAGGCAUUUUGAAAUGAUUACACAUGACUAAUGAUUUCAUAAAAUGACUUAAUUAAGUUCACUCUCCUUGGGUGGCAAGUAAAUGCACAAAUAAAGGGUUGCAUAGGCCUAAUAAAUUGUAAAACCUAAAACAGCCAACAUGGAAGUGAUUCAAAUUGCAUGUAUACUGCUACACCACUUUUCCUGACUUGUAUCAUG